UAGUCCACGCCGUAAACGAUGUCUACUAGCAGUUCGUCUCGUUUAGAGAUGUCUUGCGCAGCUAACGCAUUAAGUAGACCGCCUGGGGAGUACGGCCGCAAGGUUAAAACUCAAAUGAAUUGACGGGGGCCCGCACAAGCGGUGGAGCAUGUGGUUUAAUUCGAUGCAACGCGAAGAACCUUACCAUCCCUUGACAUCCAGAGAAUUUACUAGAGAUAGUUUAGUGCCUUUCGGGAACUCUGAGACAGGUGCUGCAUGGCUGUCGUCAGCUCGUGUUGUGAAAUGUUGGGUUAAGUCCCGCAACGAGCGCAACCCUUGUCUUUAGUUGCCAUCAUUAAGUUGGGCACUUUAAAGAGACUGCCGGUGACAAACCGGAGGAAGGUAAGGAUGACGUCAAGUCAGCAUGCCCCUUAUGCUCUGGGCUACACACGUGCUACAAUGGCCGUGACAAAGAGUUGCUACUUUGUGAAAACAAGCUAAUCUCAUAAACGCGGCCUCAGUUCGG
rnacentral:rRNA from 1 species